rnacentral:rRNA from 1 species
UACGUAGGGUGCAAGCGUUGUCCGGAAUUAUUGGGCGUAAAGAGCUCGUAGGCGGUUUGUCGCGUCGAAUGUGAAAACCCGGGGCUCAACCCCGGGCCUGCAUUCGAUACGGGCAGACUAGAGUUCGGUAGGGGAGUCUGGAAUUCCUGGUGUAGCGGUGAAAUGCGCAGAUAUCAGGAGGAACACCGGUGGCGAAGGCGGGACUCUGGGCCGAUACUGACGCUGUGGAGCGAAAGCGUGGGGAGCGAACAGG